GGAACGAACGCUGGCGGCAUGCCUAAUACAUGCAAGUCGAACGAACUCUUCGGAGUUAGUGGCGCACGGGUGCGUAACGCGUGGGAAUCUGCCCCUUGGUUCGGAAUAACAGUUGGAAACGACUGCUAAUACCGGAUGAUGACGAAAGUCCAAAGAUUUAUCGCCAAGGGAUGAGCCCGCGUAGGAUUAGCUAGUUGGUGAGGUAAAGGCUCACCAAGGCAACGAUCCUUAGCUGGUCUGAGAGGAUGAUCAGCCACACUGGGACUGAGACACGGCCCAGACUCCUACGGGAGGCAGCAGUAGGGAAUAUUGGUCAAUGGGCGAAAGCCUGAUCCAGCAAUGCCGCGUGAGUGAUGAAGGCCUUAGGGUUGUAAAGCUCUUUUACCCGAGAUGAUAAUGACAGUAUCGGAGAAUAAGCCCCGGAUAACUCCGCGCCAGCAGCCGC
rnacentral:rRNA from 1 species